GUGCAUGCAUGACUGUUACAGCUAUAUUCUGCAUGCUGGAAUAUGGGUUCACAGUCAUGCUAGAAAAAACUUAGUCAACAGGGCCACCAGUCUUUGAAGCACAGACUGUGUUGGUAGUAUAAAACUCAUACAUUG
ensembl:snoRNA Small nucleolar RNA U109